rnacentral:lncRNA from 1 species
CAGGCACCCGCCACCGCGCCCGGCCUUAACUAGGAUUUUCUAGACUAUGUUCCAGGAGAAGUAGAAUUACUGCAUCACAGGGCACUUCAUUUUUAGAUUACGUAUCAUGGCGGCAGACCUUCAAUACCAAGGUGCAUCUUCUCCAGCAAGUUCUUCAGCAUCCUUUCCAGAAGCAUUCGGCAGCCGAGAAAGCAGGCUACACCUUACCUACUCCUUCCUGGGCUAAAGAUCUCAGACUUAGUUGCUUAUCUUAAUUUGGGGAAAAUAAAUUAAGGAGUUCUUCUAUCAUUAAGCACAACAUAAUAUAAUCUAUUUAAUAAAUUCUGAUCAUCCACAUUUUGAUGGCAAUCCCACAUUUGAAAAUAAUGAUUAUAUAUGCAAAUAUUUUUAGCCAGUUAAAUUGGAACUUAUUCUUUGAAACAUCAUGAUCAUUUUUGUUCUAAUCAGUAACUAUAAUGGAACAAUAAGGUGUUUUUGAUAAACCACAUGAGUUAUUUUCAUUGAUUAUCUUAUGACAGUUGUUAUCAAAAUGGAUUAUUACAUAUUUAUCUAGUAUUUGCUGUAAACUCAGCAGUUUGGAAUACAUCAGUAAGUAUUUAGUUUUAUUAUGCUACUAGAGUUUUUUUCCGUAUUAUAGAAUUUUCAAACAUUUACUAAGGUAGAUAAAAUUUUAAUAGUUUAAUGAACCUGGUUUACCAUUUAAUCAGCUUAUUAGUAAUCAAUACAUGGCCAAUUUCACUUCAUUUACACCUCCACACACUUCCCUCAUAUUCCUUGUUAUUGCCUUAAUUGAGAUAUAAUUUACAUGUCCUCAAUUAUGUUUUGGAAAAUGGAGACAUUGUUUCCUCUACAAAUAUUUCUGUAUGCCUCUCUAAAUAUUAAUGACUUAAAACACAAACAGACCCUGACACCAUAUGACCUUAGGACAAAUUAGCAAUAACUUCCUAAUGUAUAAAAUUAAAUAUCCAGUCAGUUUUCAAGGUUUCCCUAUUGUCUUGUAAAUUAUUAUCAUCUUCUUUAUUUUAUAGUUAUUUUAAUUGGGAUCCAAAUAAGGACUAUACAUUAAAAUUAGAUGAAAAUAUGUCUUGUUUCCUUUGAUAUCUUUGAGUAUAUCACCUACGUGUGUCACCUACAUCUUUUUUCACUUGCACUCUUUUGGUUUAUUUUGUUUUGAUUGAAGAAACCAGAUUAUUUAUCCUGUAGUAUUUUGACACUCUGCAUUUUUCGGAUUGCAUUUCGUGGUAUUUAUUAAACCUGUGAUAUAAUUUGAAUGUAUGCUCCAAAUCUCAUUGAUAUGGUUUGGCUCUAUGUCCCCACCCAAAUCUCAUCUUGAAUUUCGACCCCCAUGU